CUGGAGACUAAAAUUGGGCUCACCCUUGGGGUUGGGCUUUGGGGUGUAUUAAUUAUUUGACUCAUCUUUUCAGAUGAAGUCUGAAGUGUGAAAACGCAGAAACAAAAACACCCAUUUCAGCAGAUGUCUCCCAACAGUUGCAUCCCUUCUUUAUACCUGUUGCGAACAGAAGUCUAUUUUCCGGUGCUGGAAUUUCUGACUUAGAUCGUUGAAUCCUGGUGGAACAGAC